rnacentral:rRNA from 1 species
UACGGAGGAUGCAAGCGUUAUCCGGAAUGAUUGGGCGUAAAGCGUCCGCAGGUGGCUGUGUAAGUCUGCUGUCAAAGAGCAAAGCUCAACUUUGUAAAGGCAGUGGAAACUCCACGGCUAGAGUGCGUUCGGGGCAGAGGGAAUUCCUGGUGUAGCGGUGAAAUGCGUAGAGAUCAGGAAGAACACCGGUGGCGAAGGCGCUCUGCUAGGCCGCAACUGACACUGAGGGACGAAAGCUAGGGGAGCGAAUGGG